AUGGCGGCGAAAGUAGCCGGCGGCGCCGCAUCUCUCCCGGCGGCGCAAGAGGCGAGCCUCGCGAGGCAUUACACCGCGAUGGAUAUCAGCGGUGGCGAGAUGGGGGAGGAGGCGGAGGUCUCAUCCUUCACCACGCGCUUCGCGUCGCUGCGCGUUCGGGAGGACCGGCUGGCCAAGAUCGCUGCUAGCCUGCGCCUGAUCAAGGAGAAGCGCGGCUCCCGGCCCCCCACCUACAUCGAGCUGGCCGCCGCCGUCCUCCUGAAAGACAGCGUUGCCGCCGCCCUCCAACGCCGCGCCACCAUCGUCGUCGGGCGGUCGCUGCUUGAAUAA
rnacentral:rRNA from 1 species